rnacentral:rRNA from 1 species
GAAUUGCUAGUAAUCGCAGAUCAGCAUGCUGUGGUGAAUACGUUCCCGGGCCUUGUACACACCGCCCGUCACACCAUGGGAGUCGGUAACACCCAAAGUUGGUAGUCUAACCGCAAGGAGGACGCCGCCUAAGGUGGGAUUGAUGACUGGGGUGAAGUCGUAACAAGGUACC